UCAGACAUCGAUCACUCUAUAUGUCUUCUAAUCUACAAUCAUAGUACAUUCAAUAGUUCAAAACAUCAAGAGAUUAUGGACUGGAGAGUUGCAUGGCCUUUUUGGAUUUUUAAUAAUGCAAACAGAUUUUUCAAAUGAUGGUACACGAAGUGACCCUGUAGUUUACAAACAAAUCGUAAAAAGGGAGUUGACAUAAUUUUGUGAAGUCUUAAAAAAAAACCCGAUUGUAUAUAGUUAAAUGAAGGAUGUAAAAAGGAAAACUAUGAAUAUAUUCAAAGAAACACAAGAUAUUAAACAAACUAAGCCAAAUGAAAAAUAGUAUGAAUAGUGCUACUUUGAAUAAUACAGUACAGGAUUGAAUGCUAUUCAUGAUUCAAAAUUAAUUGUGUCCGUUUUCUUUGUGACAUUUUGCCUGUGUUGCUUUACUAAGUUAUACUGGAUACAAUGCAGUGAUAAAAAAUAUGAGUUUCAAUAGACGUUUGGACAAUUUCCUUGUGUUGCUUUACUGAAUUAUACGGAAUACAAUACAGUUAUUCAAAACUAUGAAUGUCAAUUUACUUUCUGAGAUCUUCUUUCUUGUUGCCUUACUGCUGGGGAUGUAUGCAUGUAAAGUUUCCAGUCACUUUGUUGUCACAGCACCAAAACAAACUAAUCAUGGUCUAACAUGCUGGACAUGUCCAGAGAUGUACAGUAAUCAAGACUGCAAUGAUUGGGCCCCAGAUAUUCCCUGUUCGCAAA